GACGAACGCUGGCGGCGUGCCUAAUACAUGCAAGUAGAACGCUGAAGGAGGAGCUUGCUCUUCUGGAUGAGUUGCGAACGGGUGAGUAACGCGUAGGUAACCUGCCUGGUAGCGGGGGAUAACUAUUGGAAACGAUAGCUAAUACCGCAUAACAGUAGAUGUUGCAUGACAUUUACUUAAAAGGUGCAAUUGCAUCACUACCAGAUGGACCUGCGUUGUAUUAGCUAGUUGGUGGGGUAACGGCUCACCAAGGCGACGAUACAUAGCCGACCUGGGAGGGUGAUCGGCCAAACUGGGACUGAGACACGGCCCAGACUCCUACGGGAGGCAGCAGUAGGGAAUCUUCGGCAAUGGACGGAAGUCUGACCGAGCAACGCCGCGUGAGUGAAGAAGGUUUUCGGAUCGUAAAGCUCUGUUGUAAGAGAAGAACGAGUGUGAGAGUGGAAAGUUCACACUGUGACGGUAUCUUACCAGAAAGGGACGGCUAACUACGUG
rnacentral:rRNA from 1 species